GCCAGCGCAGCACGACGGGUGGUGCACCGCAUUCGUAACGCGGCGGAUCCGGUUCGAGCCCGGACGCUGGCU
rnacentral:tRNA from 1 species